rnacentral:tRNA from 1 species
GGAGGCGUGGCCGAGUGGUCGAAGGCAGCAGCUUGCUAAGCUGUCGUACGGGCAACCGUACCAUAGGUUCGAAUCCUAUCGCCUCCG